GUCCAGGGAUGGGAAACGAACCCACAAUGUUCCGCUUACCUGGCGGAUGCCAUGUCCACUAGGCUACCCUGGA
rnacentral:tRNA from 1 species